UAAAUAUCAAGAUAUGAAAAUUUGGCCCAAAAUAAAAGCGGGAUUCUUUCCCCGGUUCUAUUUCAUUUUUUUAGUUAGCAUCACUACAUUAGAGCAUCAGAUGAUUUCCACCAAAACAUUUUGCCCAACCACUCGAAUUCAAUGAAUCAUCCAGAUUUCAUCAACUACCAGUACCCCAUAUUUACCUUUAACCAUUCAUCUUCCCCAAUUUUUGUCAUGAACCCUAGAUCUUAUCAUUAGACACGUCCCUCACUUUAUCUCUCAUCACUCAAUCUCUAUUUUUUUUGGACUCUCGUCUGUCGAUUCACCACUCUCUCACAUCUCAAAUUUUCUCUUACUUCUCAAUUUCUCUCUCACCUCUCAAUUUCUAGAUCGUACCCUUUGAAAACUAAAUCGCUCUACUUCAUAGUCUAAUCUCUCACAACCCUCGAACCCUUAUAAACCAGAAUUUGUCCUCUUGGUUCCCAGAUUUAUCAUUCGAAUUUCAGUGCAGAAUGUCAGAUCUAUCGACCUUCAACUCGAAAAUGGUUUAUAUCAACACCAACCCUCUAAUGGAGGCAACUUUUGCAGCAACAGCCGACAGGGAGAUGGUGUUUUGCAGACAUCUCGUUACUGUUAUUCAAGCUCGAAGUCCAUACCCAAGGAGGAUGUACGAUUCCGGGGAAGCCUAGUUUAGAUGAAGAUGAAGAUAAUGUUGGUUGAUGAACAAUUAAUUUUGUUAAUUUAAGUUUUUGUAUAAAUUUAAGUUUCUAGAUUUUAUUUUUUCUUUUGGUUUCUUGUACCAAAUUCAUUAUUAAUAAAAAUAUAGUUUAUUAUUUUUUCGAUGACAAUGUUGUUUAUUAAAUUAACAUUAAAUGCUAAAUACUUGAAAUUAGCAACUAUGUUUAGUUGCUAAUUU